rnacentral:rRNA from 1 species
UACGAAGGGGGCUAGCGUUGCUCGGAAUCACUGGGCGUAAAGGGUGCGUAGGCGGGUCUUUAAGUCGGUGGUGAAAUCCUGGAGCUCAACUCCAGAACUGCCUUCGAUACUGAGAGUCUCGAGUCCGGGAGAGGUGAGUGGAACUGCGAGUGUAGAGGUGAAAUUCGUAGAUAUUCGCAAGAACACCAGUGGCGAAGGCGGCUCACUGGCCCGGUACUGACGCUGAGGUGCGAAAGCGUGGGAGCAAACAGG